AUGCAACACAUCAUCAUUGGCUGCCCUUUCUCUCAGCAGAUUUGGCAUGACAUACUUGCCUGGGUUCAUGCUACUACUCCACCCCCUUCUGGAGAUGGUGCCUUCCUUCCCUGGUGCUCGGCCACAAUCAGGGGAUCCCCCACCGGCCACCGCAAGGGCCUCGCCACAUUGGCGGUGCUCACGGCGUGGUCCAUUUGGCGUCACCACAACAAUUGCAUUUUCGACGGCGAGAACCCCUCCUCCUCACGACUCAUCACAUUGAUCCAGGAGGAGGCCCGUGCCUGGGCUAGUGCAGGCGCGCACGGACUUGGUGCUUUGAUAACAUAG
rnacentral:rRNA from 1 species